rnacentral:lncRNA from 1 species
AUCAAUCUUUGAUAAAAUCUCAAAAGAAGUUUCAAAGAAAUUUCAAAAGAAAUAUUAAGAAAUCAUAAAUUAAUCUUAAUAAUAUAUAUAAUAAAAAAACAUAAAAAAAUAUCAAAAAAAUCUUAAAGAAAUAAUAAAAAUAAAAAUCUUAAAUAAAUCUUAAUCAAAUGUUAAUGUAAUCUUCAAAAAAUCCUAAUCAAAU